UACGGAGGGUGCGAGCGUUGUCCGGAAUCAUUGGGCGUAAAGGGCGCGUAGGUGGCCCGGUGAGUCUUUGGUGAAAGCCCGGGGCUCAACCCCGGGUCGGCCGUGCCGACUGUAAGACUAGAGUGCUGUAGGGGCAGGCGGAAUUCCGGGUGUAGCGGUGGAAUGCGUAGAGAUCCGGAGGAAGACCGGUGGCGAAGGCGGCCUGCUGGGCAGUUACUGACACUGAGGCGCGACAGCGUGGGGAGCAAACAGG
rnacentral:rRNA from 1 species